CUCUAGCCCUGAUGAAAGCGGUAUCCUUUUUCUUGCUUCUUUAGCAAGAAAAAGAUAUAGCGAACAGCAGGAAAUAGC
rnacentral:sRNA from 1 species